UAAACUUUAUUAUUUCAAACAUAUAUACAUGUACAUAUGUCUAUGAUUUCAAACAACUGUAUGAACUUAGCUAACCUCAUGUGGCCAAUUGGAAACUUCUCAAGGUCAAGCUUUUAGGAAAAAUAAUAGUUAUUAGCAAAGAUAAACAGCAUGAAGAGCAGAAACUAUGCACAAUGCUACUGCACCUCUCCAGCCAGAGGCAUGGCAGAACAGCCUCUGAUUCGGAUUGGUCGGUGGCGACGCUGCCGUUCAGCUCGCCCAGUCCCGUUUGCUCCUGGAUGUCCGUCAUCUCUCCGACGAUGAAGGUCGGCUCCCCUCCUUUGCCGUUGGCUGAUCCGCUGUCUGGCUGCUUGGAUGCUUGGUUUGUUAGUGUGGGUUCUUCAUCCAGCCUGCUGGAGAUGGACCAGUAGAGGAUGACAACGAUCUCAAAGUCCUCCUUCUCCAGCUGAGCCUGUGACAUGUCCCAGAAGGGCGAAUGUGCGUCAAUCUCGUGGGAGAUCACCAACGGCGAAACCAGGAAGAGGCGAUCAUCACCUGUCUCAAAGCCCACGCUGAUGUCUGUCUGGUCCAGCGGGAUGAACUCACCUGACGGGGAGAAUAAUAUGGAGAGUUGAGGAAAAGGAAAGGGAGGAAAAACAUGUUAAGUCAUGCCCCGGCUCUGGUGCUCACCAUGAAGGCGUUGACCAUCGAGCCCAGUAUAGCUUGUAGCAGCAGCAGCAUGGUGCCCACUGGACACUGGUCUGUGAUGACGCGGUGGCCAUAGCCAAUGGUGGUCUCGGUCUC